ACACACACAUAGACAGUUAUACACACACAGGCAGGCAGUCACACAGAUAGAAAGUCACACACACAGGCAGGCAGUCACACACAGACAGAUAGUUACAGACAGACACACACAGGCAGGCAGGCAGUCACAUACAGGCAGUCACACACACAGGCAGUCACACACACAGACAGACAGUCACACACACAGGCAGUCACACACACAGUCACACACAGAGACAGUCACACACAGAGACAGACAGUCACACACACACACACAAGGACAGGCAGUCACACAGACAGUCACACACACACACACACA